AAUGAACGCUAGCGGCAGGCCUAAUACAUGCAAGUCGUACGGGAUUCAGGAGCUUGCUUCUGAUGAGAGUGGCGCACGGGUGCGUAACACGUAUGUAACCUACCUUUAUCAGGGGGAUAGCCUCUCGAAAGAGAGAUUAAGCCCGCAUAAAAUCACAGCACAGCAUUGUGUAAUGAUCAAAUAUUUAUAUGAUUAAGAUGGGCAUGCGGAACAUUAGCUAGAUGGCGGGGUAACGGCCAACCAUGGCGACGAUGUUUAGGGGAUCUGAGAGGAUGGCCCCGGACAAUGGUACUGAGACACGGACCAGACUGCGACGGGAGGCAGAAGUAAGGAAUAUUGGUCAAUGGGCGGAAGCCUGAACCAGCCAUGCAGCGUGCAGGAAGACGGCCCUACGGGUUGUAAACUGCUUUUAUACGGGAAUAAACCCAGAUACGUGUAUCUGGCUGAAUGUACUGUAAGAAGGAGGAGCGGCUAACUCCGU
rnacentral:rRNA from 1 species